CCUACGGGGGGCUGCAGUGGGGAAUAUUGGACAAUGGGGGCAACCCUGAUCCAGCCAUGCCGCGUGUGUGAAGAAGGCCCUCGGGUUGUAAAGCACUUUCAGUGAUGAAGAACGCCUGGUGGUUAAUACCCAUCAGGAAAGACAUCACUCACAGAAGAAGCACCGGCUAACUCCGUGCCAGCAGCCGCGGUAAUACGGAGGGUGCGAGCGUUAAUCGGAAUUACUGGGCGUAAAGCGCGCGUAGGUGGCUUGAUAAGCCGGUUGUGAAAGCCCCGGGCUCAACCUGGGAACGGCAUCCGGAACUGUCAAGCUAGAGUGCAGGAGAGGAAGGUAGAAUUCCCGGUGUAGCGGUGAAAUGCGUAGAGAUCGGGAGGAAUACCAGUGGCGAAGGCGGCCUUCUGGACUGACACUGACACUGAGGUGCGAAAGCGUGGGUAGCAAACAGGAUUAGAUACCCGUGUAGUC
rnacentral:rRNA from 1 species